rnacentral:pre_miRNA from 1 species
UACAGAAGUGUUCGUGAAAAUAAAUAUGUGUUUUUUUUAUGAUCACUAGCUCUUCUGUAGC